CAACUGUUAGGAUGGACGACACAUCUCUACUGUGGCUACUCUUUCUGACCUCACUGCUGAGCAGCACAACAAACCAAGCCUCUCUGACUGUGAGUCCCAGCAGAUCUCAGAUGUUUGAAGGACAGUCUGUCUCUCUGAGCUGUGAGGACGACAGCUCUGCUGGAUGGACUCUGAGGAGGAACACAACCAGAGAAACCAGGACUCAGUGUGGA